GAUGAACGCUGGCGGUCUGCUUAACACAUGCAAGUCGAACGGGCUCUUCGGAGCUAGUGGCGGACGGGUGAGUAACACGUGAGAAUCUGGCUCCCGGUCGGGGACAACAGAGGGAAACUUCUGCUAAUCCCGGAUGAGCCGAAAGGUAAAAGAUUUAUCGCCGGGAGAUGAGCUCGCGUCUGAUUAGCUAGUUGGUGAGGUAAAGGCUCACCAAGGCGACGAUCAGUAGCUGGUCUGAGAGGAUGAUCAGCCACACUGGGACUGAGACACGGCCCAGACUCCUACGGGAGGCAGCAGUGGGGAAUUUUCCGCAAUGGGCGCAAGCCUGACGGAGCAAGACCGCGUGGGGGAGGAAGGCUCUUGGGUUGUAAACCCCUUUUCUCAAGGAAGAACACAAUGACGGUACUUGAGGAAUAAGCCUCGGCUAACUCCGUGCCAGCCGCCGCGGUAACAC
rnacentral:rRNA from 1 species